UUGCUGGCGACCGGCGCACGGGUGAGUAACACGUAUCCAACCUGCCGAUAACUCGGGGAUAGCCUUUCGAAAGAAAGAUUAAUACCCGAUAGCAUAAUGAUUCCGCAUGGUUUCAUUAUUAAAGGAUUCCGGUAAAGGAUGGGGAUGCGUUCCAUUAGGUUGUUGGUGAGGUAACGGCUCACCAAGCCUUCGAUGGAUAGGGGUUCUGAGAGGAAGGUCCCCCACAUUGGAACUGAGACACGGUCCAA
rnacentral:rRNA from 1 species